rnacentral:SRP_RNA from 1 species
GCCGGGUGUGGUGGUGCGCACCUGUAAUUCCACCUACCUGGGAGGCUGAGGCAGGAGAAUCUCUUGAACCCAGGAGGCGGAGGUUGCAGUGAGCCGAGAUCACGGCACUGCCCUCCAGCCUGGGCAACAGAGGGAGACUCUGUCUCAA